ACGAGUCCGUGAGUUCACAAGUACAGAGAAGGAACAAUGACUCCAGUUGAGGCUUUGAGAGAGUUUAUUCAGCAGCGACUCACUGCUGCUGCUGGAGAAAUCUUCACCGCGUUUCAACAAACUCUCCUCCACUACGAGAAGGAGAUGAAUGUUCAGGACAGACUGCUGGAAAUCACAGGAGAACUUCCAGUCCCGUUCUCCAGAACAGAGCUCCAACAGCACCGUGACUGUAGAGAGGAGCAGGAAACAAACUACUG